rnacentral:pre_miRNA from 1 species
GUAGUCGGAUUCACAUUAAUUCACAUGUGUUGAAGUGGGUUGGAGUGGAAAUUGAAUUAAAUUUCACCCCAAUCCACUCCAAGAUUGAGGUGAAUCCGACA